rnacentral:siRNA from 1 species
UAAGGAGGGUGCUGUAAAGUC